rnacentral:sRNA from 1 species
UGACCAUGGACUGUCAGACGGACGUGCAG